UGCUGGGGAGGGAAAAAGACCCCAGAUACAGAUCAUUGAUCUCUGCCUUUCUUUCCUCAAUGCUUGCCAGCUUGUUGCCUGAAACGUGCUGCUGGAGGUGGUCCCAGUCCCAUGUCCCUGGAGGUCACAGCUGCAACAAAUGCACAGGAAUGGUCUGAUAUCCUUUCUUUGCUCCAGUCAAGAUGAUUUGUGCUAAUGUGCAAUGAGAGAAAUUCAGUGUUUUGCCACACAUGGGGUCUAAGAUACAGCCUGCUGAAGCGAAUAGGAUGCAACUGGCUCAAGUGAUCUUCAGGACCUCUGAAGCGAAGAUGGUGGAAACCCAACAUGAUGCAAGCUUCAAAGUUUCGCUGCAAGUAUCUCCUUUCAAGUGAAAUGAAUUAUACCACUGUCAGUGACAUGGAAGUACUAAUGCAGAAGUAGCCUCUGAACUAUUAAGGCAACAGUGCUGGCAGCACAGAAAAAUGAAGUUUCUAUAGCCUGCUCUGAUGCUACGCUGAGAACACGGUGCUCAGGAUGGGAUAGAGGAAUUUCGCACUGUUUUGUGUUGCCUGUGAUUUAAGGCACAAAUGUGAUGUUCAUCCUAAAGUGGUUAUUUUUAAAAUCUUUCUAGUUCUUGCAACAAUUUUAUCUUGUCUGUUCCUAACUUAUGCUGCAAUACUUCAAAUAUGUAUCUCGUCCAUAAACAACAGUGCACUGAAGAUGCUGAAAAUGAGUGAAUAGUGAGGGGAAGUUUUGCUGGAGCUGUUGUUCAUUGUGUUAACAUCAUCUACCCGUGUCCUCCUGGAUCCCAGCGGAAGUGAUUUUCAUAGGCAUUGAAAAGUUGUUAUGUUGAAGAUAAUGCAACAUUUAACUAAAUGUCACUUAGAGUAUUUUCUUCUAGUUUUCCUUCUGUAAUUUCCUUUCUUUGGCCACCCUUCUGCCGCGUUAGUUAUGAAGACACUUCAUUCUCAGAGCCACCAGAUGAGGAUCCUGAGGCAGAAGUUUGAAGGAAUAGUCAGACCACCACUAAAAGAACAACAUAUGGACAUUCAACAUAGCUACUUCUAGUUUGCCUGUUUGUUUCUCUAUCCUGCAAUAUUCACAUACCUCCAGUCAGACUAAAUUGUGUCACAUAUUUUUCCCUCAGAAGAAACUUUUGAAGAAAGUGUACCAUCUUCUGUGAUUGUUUGCUUUACACAGGCCCUUAUUGGAGGUCAUAGGUGAUUUUUUUGUUUUUUGUUUGUUUGUUUGUUUUUCCUUAUUCCUCAGAUCUAUUUAAAAAUCAUGUAGGUCCUGCAGAUCUUCCAUGUCCAGAUUUUCUCUGCAAAAUCCAGAAACACAAUGCAGACAUGUAUUGUUUGUCCAGGGAUAUGGAAGGCAAAGGAACCGAAUGUAUAUCCAAACUGUUCCAUUUUUCAGCCAUGGUUCUUCUAUCUCUAUCUCUAACCUAACUUGUGACCAGUACCUAUUGCACAGCUCUUCAUUCUUCUGCAUCCUUCGAUAAUAUAAUUUUGAUAUUAUUUAAGAGGCAUUGUCCAAGAUAGAGUUUUAAUUUAGCUACUCUGACUUAAGACAUGCAGAAGAUAUACAAGCAAGCAAAUGCAAGCAAAAUGUUGGGUUGAAAAAAGAUUCUUGGCUCAGCAGACACUGUUUAAUUGCUUCUAGUUCUUUGUUUGGAAUCGAAAGCAGACAUAUAAAACUGUGAUUCCCAGUGUCCUGCUGGCUCAGUCGGUAUCAGAUGGGCUUUAGGGCUCAGCCUUGAUGCUUCCAUGUUGCCACCUUCAUGGAGAAGCUGGUAGUGGCUAUGCAAACUUCAGAGUUUGGGGUUGCUCAGAAAAACUGUAGGUAUUCCUGUACAUCACCAAAGUACUAAUGACGAAUGGAAUUUGUGUUCAUUAUGAAUUUGUUACAAAUGGAGUUCAUAUGGAGUACUAAUUAUGAGUGGAAUUUCUUCUUCUGAGAAUUCUCCAAGUCUAGGAAAUAAGUGGUAUUUAAUUGCAAUUUAUAGCUGGAAAUUCUUCAUUCCAAAGAUCAGGAGAUGAAGCAUUUCUGUAAUAAAACUGGUCUUUGAAUAUGUGUUCUAUUGCACAUGCUAUUUUUUCCUUAUUAGGAGAAUUAACCUCUAGUAUUGAAGAAUACCUUAAGCAGUAAAACUUAAAGAGGGCUCUAAAAACACAGUAUUAAACAGGACAUAUAUCAGUUUAAAUGUAGUAAUAGGUUUUUUAGUUAAACUGUUUAUUACCAUU